GUGCUCGCUUUGGCAGCACAUGUACUAAAAUUGGAAGCAUGCAGGGAAGAUCAGCAUGGCCCCUGCACAAGGAUGACACACAAAUUCAUGCAGUGUUCCAUAGUUUU